UUAUUUUUUUUUAUCUUGAAUCUUCCUGAUCUCUUCUGAUCUCAGAAGUUAAGCAGGGUUGGACCUGUUUAGAACUUGGAUGGGAGAAAAAUAAA
rnacentral:rRNA from 1 species